AGUGAACGCUGGCGGUAGGCCUAACACAUGCAAGUCGAACGGCAGCACAGUAAGAGCUUGCUCUUACGGUUGGCGAGUGGCGGACGGGUGAGGAAUACAUCGGAAUCUACUUUUUCGUGGGGGAUAACGGAGGGAAACUUACGCUAAUACCGCAUACGACCUACGGGUGAAAGCAGGGGAUCUUCGGACCUUGCGCGAUUGAAUUAGCCGAUGUCGGAUUAGCUAGUUGGCGGGGUAAAGGCCCACCAAGGCGACGAUCCGUAGCUGGUCUGAGAGGAUGAUCAGCCACACUGGAACUGAGACACGGUCCAGACUCCUACGGGAGGCAGCAGUGGGGAAUAUUGGACAAUGGGCGCAAGCCUGAUCCAGCCAUACCGCGUGGGUGAAGAAGGCCUUCGGGUUGUAAAGCCCUUUUGUUGGGAAAGAAAAGCAGCAGGUUAAUACCCCGCUGUUCUGACGGUACCCAAAGAAUAAGCACCGGCUAACUUCGUG
rnacentral:rRNA from 1 species